UCCCUCUAUUUAUUAAAAUCAAGUUUUUCAUUUGAACAAUGUAAAGAAACUAAUUUUCCAUCUCUAAUUAAUAUAAAAAAAUUUAUCUAGUUAAUUGGAACGAUCAAUAGCAUUUGUGCAUAAAAUCUAUCUUAUUUUUAUGCAUGUAACCACCUCCUUAAAUAUUAAUUACAUUAAAAAUACUCAUAAAAACCUACCAGACACCGACAUAUAUUAUAAGAAGAAUGGA
rnacentral:lncRNA from 1 species